CCUACGGGUGGCUGCAGUGGGGAAUAUUGGACAAUGGGCGAAAGCCUGAUCCAGCCAUGCCGCGUGUGUGAAGAAGGCCUUCGGGUUGUAAAGCACUUUCAGUGGGGAAGAAAGCCUUGGGGCUAAUACCCUCGAGGAAGGACAUCACCCACAGAAGAAGCACCGGCUAACUCCGGGCCAGCAGCCGCGGUAAUACGGAGGGUGCGAGCGUUAAUCGGAAUUACUGGGCGUAAAGCGCGCGUAGGCGGUCUGAUAAGCCGGUUGUGAAAGCCCCGGGCUCAACCUGGGAACGGCAUCCGGAACUGUCAGGCUAGAGUGCAGGAGAGGAAGGUAGAAUUCCCGGUGUAGCGGUGAAAUGCGUAGAGAUCGGGAGGAAUACCAGUGGCGAAGGCGGCCUUCUGGACUGACACUGACGCUGAGGUGCGAAAGCGUGGGUAGCAAACAGGAUUAGAUACCCCUGUAGUC
rnacentral:rRNA from 1 species